CAGGCCUAACACAUGCAAGUCGAGCGGAAACGGCAGUGUUGAAGCUUCGGUGGAUUUACUGGACGUCGAGCGGCGGACGGGUGAGUAACGGCUGGGAACCUGCCCUGACGAGGGGGAUAACCGUUGGAAACGACGGCUAAUACCGCAUAAUGUCUUGAUUCGUUAGAGUCAGGACCAAAGGUGGCCUCUACAUGUAAGCUAUCGCGUUGGGAUGGGCCCAGUUAGGAUUAGCUAGUUGGUAAGGUAAUGGCUUACCAAGGCAACGAUCCUUAGCUGGUUUGAGAGGAUGAUCAGCCACACUGGGACUGAGACACGGCCCAGACUCCUACGGGAGGCAGCAGUGGGGAAUAUUGCACAAUGGGGGAGACCCUGAUGCAGCCAUGCCGCGUGUGUGAAGAAGGCCUUCGGGUCGUAAAACACUUUCAGCAGUGAGGAAGGUCGUGUACUUAAUACGUGCACGGCUUGACGUUAGCUGCAGAAGAAGCACCGGCUAACUCCGUGCCAGCAGCCGCGGUAAUACGGAGGGUGCGAGCGUUAAUCGGAAUUACUGGGCGUAAAGCGCAUGCAGGCGGUUUGUUAAGUCAGAUGUGAAAGCCCGGGGCUCAACCUCGGAACCGCAUUUGAAACUGGCAGGCUAGAGUCUUGUAGA
rnacentral:rRNA from 1 species